UCAGUCUCGAUUCGAACGUACACAUUGAACGUACAACCGUACAUAUUGAUUACAACGUGCUUGUUAACUAUUCGACCAUGUGGGGAAACUUGUGUCUUUUUGGCGUAUUUAUUAUGUAUAUCAUUCUGUAUUUACAUGAUAUACAUAAUUUCAAAACGAGUAAAGAAAUAAUUUUAUAAUAUUUAGUGACAUAUCUGUCUUGUACGUUACAUUUUUAAGAGAAAUAUCAUACGAUGGAGGAUUACACAAGAAUAUCCAUGCCUGAAUACAUUAUAACUGGAUUUUUUGAUUGACAAGUUUUCUCGAUACUUUCUUAGCAGCAUUAUUAAACCAGCAUUGAAGUAAAUCGAUGUGAAAAUGCAUUCGAAAACACUAUCCGUAUGACCUGUACGAACUUGUGACAACAAAAUUUAAAUCUGGACAAAGGCUUGCGCGUAAAAAGGUCAGCUGAACUAAAUAAGUGACAAAAGCUUGCAACCUAUAUUUUGACGAUUUGAUAAGGGAAUAUGUCCAUGUGCUACCUCGACGCUUUAGAAUGACGACAGAAAAAAGUGAAAAAUUGAAAUGUAAUAUUAAUCGAGCGUACGCAUCACGGGCGUACACAUCAAUUUUGAAUCUGAGUUGUUAUCUCUAACUGGUACAACAAAAUUGUGCUUUAUCUCUGCCAUUAUUCUUUGCCACAUUUUUAUCUUCUUUACAACUAGUAGGUACUUAUUAUCGAUGAUUCCUGCACAAUUUUCCGUUUUCAUUUGUGUAAAUAUAAUAAAUUAUUCUUGCUUACGUGUCAUAAUAAAAAAUGUCAUCACAUUGCCGUUAUAUUAUCGCGUCAGGCUAUAUAAUGUCAGACUAUCGGAUUUAUCUCACAUAUUUUGUUUCUAUCCAAUUAAUGUAAUUGUAUAAUAAUAUUUAAAAUGGUUUUA